CCAGGGGGCGCGCUGGCCGGCGUCGCGGAUCCCCGAGCUGCGCGGCCCGACUCGAGUCCGCCAUAUUGGAUGCCGCAGCCGCUGCUGCCAGCGCUUCCUCCUCUGUCUUCGCCGAACGGGGCUGGUUCCUGCGGCCCGAGCGGCAGGGAGGUGAAACAGGAGCCCGUCGGAGGAAGGGGAAAAAGGGGGUGGAGAGUGUAGGGGACGGGGCUAGAGGGAGGGGGACCGAGACGGAGCGCGGCGGAGAAGAGAAGGCGCCGCGGCCCAGCCCCUCCCCCCCGUCCGCCGCCGACCCGCCCCGGCAGCGCCUCUGUUCCCUAGAACGGCGCUCCCCCCCGCCCUAGCGGCCAUGCCGGGGCCGCGCUGCCGCUGAGGGAGCCCUUCCCCGCCAGCGCGUGCCCUUCCACUCCGCCCCGAGGUCGCAGCGGCCCGCUCUCCCGCCAGCGCCCCCUCCUCGCGGCCACGCAGCAGCCCGCGUCUCGCUCUCCCCACCCAGUGCAGUGGCCGCCGCCUCUUCCGCCGCCGGGCUCGGGGCCUCCGCAGCGACAACAUGGAGGCCGUGAAGACCUUCAAUAGCGAGGAUUGUGCCUCUACUCCUGCUUGUACAGACUGCUUUUCCAGCAGCAUGGACACAAGAAGCAUACUGUAUUCCCUGAAUGACUAUAAACCACCCAUUUCGAAAGCAAAAAUGACCCAAAUUACUAAGGCCGCCAUCAAAGCUAUUAAGUUCUAUAAACAUGUGGUACAGAGUGUUGAGAAGUUUAUUCAGAAAUGUAAACCAGAAUACAAAGUACCUGGACUUUAUGUUAUUGACUCCAUUGUGCGACAAUCCAGACAUCAGUUUGGUCAAGAAAAGGAUGUGUUUGCACCCAGAUUUAGUAAUAACAUCAUUAGCACUUUCCAGAAUUUAUAUCGUUGCCCUGGGGAUGACAAGAGUAAAAUAGUGAGAGUACUAAACUUAUGGCAGAAGAAUAAUGUAUUUAAGAGUGAGAUUAUUCAGCCUCUUUUGGAUAUGGCAGCUGGGAUUCCACCUCCUGUUGUCACACCUGUUUUGGCCAGCACUACCACUGCUAUGAGCAAUACUCCAGGAACUCCUGUGACACCUGUUACUCCGGCCAAUGUGGUCCAAGGCUUACCUGAUCCGUGGGUAUCUCAGAUAACAAAUACAGAUACACUCGCGGCUGUGGCUCAGAUCUUGCAAAGUCCUCAAGGCCAGCAGCUUCAACAAUUAAUACAAACCUUACAGAUACAACAACAGAAGCCCCAGCCUUCCAUUCUGCAGGCCCUAGAUGCUGGUCUUGUUGUUCAGUUGCAAGCUCUUACGGCACAACUUACAGCUGCAGCUGCGGCUGCCAACACUCUUACUCCCUUAGAACAGGGAGUCUCCUUUAACAAGAAGUUGAUGGAUAGGUUUGAUUUUGGGGAAGAUUCUGAGCAUAGUGAAGAACCCAAAAAAGAAAUUCCAACUUCACAACUUUCUCACGUUUCAGAAUCUGUGAACAAUUCCAUUUUUCAUCAGAUAGCAGAACAACUACAACAGCAAAACCUAGAACAUCUCAGACAGCAGCUCUUGGAGCAGCAACAGCCUCAAAAGGCCACUCCUCAGGAUAGUCAGGAAGGAACAUUUGGGUCAGAGCAUUCAGCGUCACCAUCACAAGGGAGUAGUCAGCAGCAUUUUCUUGAACCUGAAGUCAAUUUGGAUGAUUCCAUAGAUAUUCAGCAGCAGGAUAUGGAUAUAGAUGAAGGGCAAGAUGGAGUGGAAGAGGAGGUCUUUGAACAAGAAGCUAAGAAAGUAGCAGUUCGCUCAAGAUCAAGAACACAUUCACGAUCUCGUUCAAGAUCACCAAGAAAACGAAGGUCUAGGUCACGGUCUGGCUCUAGAAAGCGUAAACACAGAAAGCGAUCACGCUCCCGCUCAAGAGAAAGAAAGAGGAAAUCAUCACGGUCGUAUUCAAGUGAAAGGAGAGCCAGAGAAAGGGAAAAAGAACGACAGAAAAAGGGAUUACCUCCAAUUAGAUCUAAAACACUGAGUGUAUGUAGUACUACUCUCUGGGUUGGGCAAGUGGACAAGAAGGCAACACAGCAAGACUUAACCAACCUGUUUGAAGAGUUUGGACAAAUUGAAUCCAUUAAUAUGAUUCCUCCCAGGGGCUGUGCUUAUGUCUGCAUGGUUCAUCGACAAGAUGCAUUUCGAGCUCUUCAGAAACUCAGUUCUGGAUCGUAUAAAAUUGGGUCCAAGGUCAUUAAGAUCGCUUGGGCUUUAAACAAAGGUGUAAAAACAGAAUACAAACAAUUCUGGGAUGUGGAUCUUGGAGUUACAUAUAUACCAUGGGAAAAAGUUAAAGUGGAUGACUUGGAAGGUUUUGCAGAAGGAGGCAUGAUUGAUCAGGAGACUGUAAAUACUGAGUGGGAAACUGUGAAAAGCUCAGAACCUGUUAAAGAGACGGUCCAGACAACUCAGAGCCCAACUCCAGUUGAAAAGGAGACAGUGGUCACAACCCAGGCAGAGGUUUUCCCUCCUCCUGUUGCUAUGUUGCAGAUUCCAGUGGCGCCAGCCGUGCCUACAGUUAGUUUAGUCCCACCAGCAUUUCCUGUGUCGAUGCCGGUUCCUCCUCCUGGAUUUAGUCCGAUUCCUCCACCUCCUUUUUUACGAGCAAGUUUUAACCCUUCACAACCACCACCUGGUUUCAUGCCGCCUCCAGUUCCCCCACCUGUUGUGCCACCCCCUGCAAUUCCACCAGUAGUACCAACAUCUUUAGUGCAGCCGUCAUUAUCCAUGACCCCGGAAACUGUGAAAGAUGUUGGGUUUGGUAGCCUUGUUAUACCGGGUGGCUCUGUUGCCAGCAAUCUUGCUACUUCCGCUCUGCCAGCUGGAAAUGUUUUUAAUGCUCCAACUAAACAGGCAGAGCCUGAAGAAAAAGUACCUCAUCUGAUAGACCACCAGAUUUCUUCUGGUGAAAACACCAGAUCAGUGAUUCCAAAUGAUAUUUCAAGUAAUGCUGCAAUUUUAGGAGGACAGCCACCAAAUGUGACAAGCAAUUCUGGAAUUCUGGGAGUCCAAAGACCAAAUGUAUCAAGUAAUUCUGAAAUUCUUGGGGUCCGGCCAUCUAAUGUUUCCAGUAGUUCUGGGAUUAUUGGAGCCCAACCACCAAAUAUUCUAAAUAACUCUGGAAUAUUGGGAAUACAGCCACCCAGUGUGUCAAGUGGUUCUGGACUUUUGGGAGUGCUACCCCCAAAUAUACCUAACAAUUCUGGACUUGUAGGAGUACAGCCACCAAAUGUUCCAAAUACUUCUGGACUUCUGGGAACACAGCCACCAGCUGGACCUCAAAACUUACCCCCUUUAAGUAUCCCUAAUCAAAGGAUGCCUACAAUGCCAAUGUUAGACAUUCGUCCAGGACUAAUACCACAGGCACCUGGGCCAAGAUUCCCUUUAAUACAGCCUGGAAUUCCACCCCAGCGGGGAAUCCCACCCCCAUCGGUACUUGAUUCAGCUCUUCAUCCACCACCCCGUGGACCUUUUCCUCCAGGAGAUAUUUUUAGUCAGCCAGAAAGACCUUUUUUAGCUCCUGGAAGACAAAGCAUAGACAAUGUUGCUAACCCAGAAAAAAGGAUACCACUUGGGAAUGAUAACAUUCAACAGGAAGGAGAUAGAGAUUACCGGUUUCCUCCUAUAGAAACCAGGGAAAGCAUUAGUAGACCUCCCCCUGUGGAUGUUAGAGAUGUGGUUGGGCGGCCUAUAGAUCCAAGAGAAGGUCCUGGACGGCCUCCACUAGAUGGUAGGGAUCAUUUUGGAAGACCUCCUGUAGAUAUAAGAGAGAAUCUUGUGAGGCCAGGUAUAGAUCAUCUUGGUCGAAGAGACCACUUUGGCUUUAAUCCUGAGAAGCCCUGGGGGCAUAGAGGAGAUUUUGAUGAGAGAGAGCAUCGGGUUCUACCGGUCUAUGGUGGUCCAAAAGGCUUACAUGAAGAAAGAGGUAGAUUUCGGUCUGGAAACUAUCGAUUUGAUCCUAGAAGUGGUCCUUGGAACCGAGGAUUUGGACAAGAAGUUCACAGAGAUUUUGAUGACCGCAGAAGACCCUGGGAGAGGCAAAGGGACAGGGAUGACAGAGAUUUUGAUUUCUGCAGAGAAAUGAACGGAAAUCGUCUUGGACGAGACAGAAUUCAAAACACUUGGGUUCCCCCUCCUCAUGCUCGGGUUUUUGAUUAUUUUGAAGGGGCCACUUCUCAACGAAAAGGUGAUAAUGUGCCUCAGGUUAAUGGUGAAAAUACAGAGAGACAUGCUCAGCCACCACCUAUACCAGUACAGAAUGAUCCUGAACUUUAUGAAAAACUGACAUCUUCAAAUGAAAUAAACAAGGAGAAGAGUGACACAGUUGCUGAUAUAGAAAGUGAACCAGUGGUAGAAAGCACAGAAACUGAGGGGACAUAAUCAUCACUCAGUAGGUUAAUGAUGAAAUGGCAGGUAAUUCACACUUUUGGACAGAGCACACCGCCCCCGUGGAAUCACCCUACAGAAGAGGCCAGCUAUAAAGGAUGUCUCACACCUUUAAGAUCAGUGUUUCUCAAUGUGUGGACCAUGGAUACCUGUAUUAGAAUACACAAAGGAUUUGUUUAAAAUUCAGGCUGAGCCCCUCCCAAGACCUAAUAGAGCUAAAAGCUUUGGGAGUAGGUGGAGGAAACCUGCAUCUUUACCCAGCAAUCCAGGUUCCUCAUAUACUUUCUAUCACACGCACAUUUUCACGAGAGCAAAGUCUACCCUUAACUGAAAUGAAUGACUGCUGAAUGAUCAGGAACUCCAAGUCCACAUGGAAUUCUUGCUCUUCGGUCCCAGACUCUCCCUCCUGUGUCCCCCUCAGGCAGGCAAGAUGAUGAUGAAUGAAGUCCUGGCAGCUUCCUGUGUCCCAGGCCUUGUAGAAAUAAAUGAGACAGACGUGCUUCAAAGUUCUAAUGUGCAUCACAUCGGAUCUUGUUUAAGGAAGCGUUAAAAGGAACCCACCGUUACCUAUUGAGAAGGCUCUGUGCUCUCAGGCAUUGUUUCUGAUUGAAUCCAGAGGUUGCAAGCAUGCCUCCCUGUAUUACCUGUUGGAGCAGGUUUAAUUUUAUAAAUUUUAAACACAAACUCUAUGAGUUUCUAGUUCAUAAUUGUUCUUUUUGGGGAUCCACUCAGAUGAACAGUAUUGCAUUUGUAAGAGAUACCCACUUCCACAGGACCAGAUUUCAUUGCAAUAUCAGUGGCAACAGACUCCAUCUGUAGCAUCAUCCAGUACCAGUGACGGGAAGGACAGAUGGCAAGGAAACCCUUCGGGGGGGAGAAAAAAACGUCAUAUUGUGUUGGACCUACAGAUUACUAGAACCAUAGCUUUAGUAAACCAAGGCUUUUUUUCUUGAACACAAUCUGUGUAGACUGUGUAGUUCUUGAUUGGUGGCUUUAAUCCGUUAUCAUUAGGUAUCUCCUUGAACUUUCUCAAACACUGAAAAUCUUAAGCUUUCAUUAAAAAAAAAAAAAGUAAAUGCAGCUUUCAGAAAAUCCAGGAUUCAGUACAGUCUUCCGAGUGUUUGACUUCAGCCUCCCUGUCCUGUAAUUACCAACAGCAGGUACCCGGGUGGUAGACAAGAAGCCUUGCGGGAUAGAUAAGGAAAUGAGGAGGAACAAACAUAUCACAUGGUAUCAUAAACAUACUUUAUAAGUACAUUUCUUAUUAGCUGCUUCUUCGGGCAGAGAUUAUAAAAGUUUGCUGCAAGUAUCCAGACCAGGAUUUGUGUUUUGGAAAUUAUCAGUGUUCACAAUACUUGCAGGGAAGAAAAAAAUACAAAAACUCAAAUAUGAAUACUGUUUACACCCAAAAGAACAUUUUUAUCAUUCUUUUCUUUGUUUUUGGCUCUGUCAAAAAUUAAAGUGCUUGGAAUGCUGUAGUCUGUGAUCUCUUGAAAUUUAAUCAAUGAGAACCUAGCAUUUUCACAGUAUGCUGUCACUUUGGACAUUCAUAAUAAAAAUUGAAACUAA